AGUGAACGCUGGCGGUAGGCCUAACACAUGCAAGUCGAACGAGUGGCGGACGGGUGAGGAAUACAUCGGCACCUACUUUGUCGUGGGGGAUGACGGAGGUAAACUUACGCUAAUACCGCAUCCGAUUGUUUGUGCCGCGGGUGGAUUAGCUAGUCGGUGGGGUAAAGGCCCACCAAGGCGACGAUCCGUAGCUGGUCUGAGAGGGUGAUCGGCCACACUGGAACGGAGACACGGUCCAGACUCCUACGGGAGGCAGCAGUGGGGAAUAUUGGGCAAUGGGCGCAAGCCUGAUCCAGCCAUGCCGCGUGGGUGAAGAAGGCCUUCGGGUUGUAAAGCCCUGUUGUUAGGAAAGCGGUACCCAAAGAGUAAGCACCGGCUAACUACGUGCCAGCAGCCGCGGUAAUUC
rnacentral:rRNA from 1 species